rnacentral:rRNA from 1 species
GAUGAACGCUGGCGGCGUGCCUAAUACAUGCAAGUCGAGCGAACGGACGAGAAGCUUGCUUCUCUGAUGUUAGCGGCGGACGGGUGAGUAACACGUGGAUAACCUACCUAUAAGACUGGGAUAACUUCGGGAAACCGGAGCUAAUACCGUAUAAUAUUUUGAACCGCAUGGUUCAAAAGUAAAAGACGGUCUUGCUGUCACUUAUAGAUGGAUCCGCGCUGCAUUAGCUAGUUGGUAAGGUAACGGCUUACCAAGGCAACGAUGCAUAGCCGACCUGAGAGGGUGAUCGGCCACACUGGAACUGAGACACGGUCCAGACUCCUACGGGAGGCAGCAGUAGGGAAUCUUCCGCAAAGGGCGAAAGCCUGACGGAGCAACGCCGCGUGAGUGAUGAAGGUCUUCGGAUCGUAAAACUCUGUUAUUAGGGAAGAACAUAUGUGUAAGUAACUGUGCACAUCUUGACGGUACCUAAUCAGAAAGCCACGGCUAACUACGUG